rnacentral:sRNA from 1 species
AUAAAUGGAACAAAAGCUAAGAACGCGGCAUCGUGCCGCAAUGCUUUUGUGACCUACAUCCUGUAGG